CGGAUCAAGAUAAGGCGUCCCCUACUAGGGUGGCGACCGAAACGUCGUUGGCAGUUCCGGCACCCCGUCACGGGGCAACGACCUCAAUCCGCUGCAUCGCAGCAGCAUCUCA
ncrna:unclassified sequences DTF3577 RNA